rnacentral:rRNA from 1 species
CGCAAAUUACCCAAUCCUGACUCAGGGAGGUAGUGACAAGAAAUAACAACACUGGAAAUUUUAUUUCUAGUGAUUGGAAUGAUGGGAAUUUAAACCCCUUUCAGAGUAACAAUUGGAGGGCAAGUCUGGUGCCAGCAGCCGCGGUAAUUCCAGCUCCAAUAGCGUAUAUUAAAGUUGUUGCAGUUAAAAAGCUCGUAGUUGGAUGUCUGCUGGAAGCAAUCAGUCCGCCCUAUUUGUAGGGUGUGCACUUGAUGAAUUCUGGCAUCUAUAUCCCAAUAAUAUGAUGGUGUAUACCCUGUGUACACCCAUCUAUAUUGGGAUAAUACCGUUACUUUGAGAAAAUUAGAGUGUUUGAAGCAGGCUAAUUGCCUUGAAUACUGCAGCAUGGAAUAACAAUAUAGGAUUUCGGUUCUAUUUUGUUGGUUUCUAGGACUGAAAUAAUGAUUAAUAGGGACAGUUGGGGGCAUUCGUAUUUAACUGUCAGAGGUGAAAUUCUUAGAUUUGUUAAAGACGAACUACUGCGAAAGCAUUUGCCAAAGAUGUUUUCAUUAAUCAAGAACGAAAGUUAGGGGCUCGAAGACGAUCAGAUACCGUCGUAGUCUUAACCAUAAACUAUG